UGCAAUAACAACAUUAUCAUUUAUCACAAACUACUAGAAUCGUUUACACUUAACUAGUGUAAAAUCGUAAGAGAUUCUCAUUUUUGCUUCUUCUUCUAUAAGGAAAAUACAUUUUUAUCUCGUUAUGAUGAUGGGCCAUGUUCAAAUGGCAUAACUAAUUGAAAAACUCACAACACUACAAGGUACACAACUCACUCUCAUACAACACUACAAGGUACACAACUCACUCUCCUACAAGGUAACUAAUUCAAAAACUCACAACGCUACAAGGUACACAAUUCAUUCUCCUACCUCACAGCCCCAACAGGAGAACAAAACUACUG
rnacentral:lncRNA from 1 species